GCCAGAUGGGUGGGGUGGUGGACAGGCUCCCACUCCUGACCCCAACCUAUAUUUCUGUGUGGAGUCUCCUGAGGUCAGGCCCCUCGGACCCCCAGUGGGAGUGGAAGGUGAUGGUCAACGAGGAGACAUUCGUGGGGUGGUGAGACCUGGGACAGAGAGAACUGUUGUCAGGUCCCUGAUGGUGCAGCCUCAGAUUCUGAGGGGCUGCGUGACCUCUGAGAGGGUCCCAGGGA